UUAUUUAAUGGAAGACGGCGAGUUAGUACUCGGUCCUUUCCAGGGGCUGCCGGCUUGUGUUCGAAUUCCACUUGGAAAAG
rnacentral:tRNA from 1 species